rnacentral:rRNA from 1 species
CGUGUAGGUGGCUUGGCAAGUUGGGUGUGAAAGCCCGGGGCCCAACCCCGGAAUUGCACUCAAAACUGCUUCGCUAGAGUCUCGGAGAGGAAAGCGGAAUUCCCGGUGUAGAGGUGAAAUUCGUAGAUAUCGGGAGGAACACCAGUGGCGAAGGCGGCUUUCUGGACGAUGACUGACACUGAGACGCGAAAGCGUGGGGAGCAAACAGGAUUAGAUACCCUGGUAGUCC